GGGAAACGUUCUCCUCGCUAGAAAAUCCAUUUAGGUUUUCUUUGUCACAAGCAUUCUUCUCCAUCAGUAGUGCCUCUAUUCUGAUUUCUGCUUCUUCGGUGCUUCCAUCGCUAGUGCCGCUCCCAAUCUCAUCUCUCGAUUGUGAGCUUGAGGUAUGAUUGUGGUAUGUUGGUGAUUAAAUAUAUGGAGUUAUGGGACCACUUACCUAAAUUCGAUGGGAAAAAAAAUGCCUGAUUACACAACGGAACAAUUACAAGUUGUGCGACAACAGAUGGGUUGUCAGUGGGUAUUACACGAAGAUAAUGUUCAUCGCACUAGGGUACUAAAGAAAUUUGGGAUGCUUUAGGCAUUGAUUAACUCAUAAAGU